GUCUAUUCAAUAAAAGUUAUAACACUCGUUAGCGUGCGACCCCAUAGGUUCGACACUAAACCAGUAACAAAUUAGUCAAACUAAUUUACUAAUUAAGGUUGGCAUAUAGCAACACUUCUCAACGACCAGAUAGUAUGAAAUGCACAAUUACUCUCAAAAACCUGCUAAAGAAAUAUGUACUACUUUCUUCCGUCGUUAUUACU
rnacentral:lncRNA from 1 species